AGUCUAAUAAAAUUUUCGUUUUUUCUCAAUGUCUAAAUUCUUUAUAAAAAUGAAGUUAUGAUUCAAAAGGUAUGAAUAGGUCACUAUUGACUGUUUUUUUAGAAUUUUCACUGACAUUGAUGUGGUCAUUGGUUUCAACUAGCCAAAUGAGAUCCAUUUUCAAUCAAACCACUGCCAUUUGAAAGGUAUACGAGUAGGCUAAAACUUGCAUUUAGAAAUUAUUUUGAAAUUCGUUUUAGAUUGAAAGUUAUACUUUGGUUGAAGGUAUGUCACUGUAGACAGUUUUAGCAAAAGCAUAGAUUUAAUGUAUCAGAUGUCACUAAGUUUGACUAACCAAAA
rnacentral:lncRNA from 1 species